rnacentral:misc_RNA from 1 species
GGGAUGUUAACUGUUCUUGGAGGAAGAAUGACAGUGGAGAAUCACCAGGGGAGAGUUGGCUUUCUCAAAAUGUGUGAUGAUAAGAAUAGGUUUCUGGAUGCCAGCCAAAAGUCAAAUUUUUCUUAUUUUAAAUGUUCGGCAAAGUCUCAUAGUGUCAGUCCAUAUCACAACAAAGACUCUUUUCUGGAUCUGCACCCUGAAAUUUCAAUGCUUAGAGGCGAGGGGAACAACACAGCAACCACCCCAAGGAAGGAUGCUUCAAGUGGAACUGUUACUGACAGCUUAGGACAUGAAUCUAGUUCAAGUAAUUAUGAUGAAGCUAAGAUCAAAGUAAUUGGCGUUGGAGGUGGUGGGUCAAAUGCAGUCAAUCGCAUGAUAGAAAGUGCAAUGAAGGGUGUGGAAUUUUGGAUUGUCAACACAGAUGUGCAAGCCAUGAAAAUGUCUCCUGUCUUUCCUGAGAAUCGUUUGCAAAUUGGUCAAGAGCUGACUAGAGGACUUGGAGCUGGAGGUAACCCAGAGAUUGGAAUGAAUGCUGCCAAAGAAAGCAAAGAGGCCAUAGAAGAGGCACUUUAUGGUUCUGAUAUGGUCUUUGUCACAGCCGGAAUGGGUGGGGGAACUGGCACAGGUGGAGCUCCUGUGAUUGCCGGUGUUGCAAAGACGAUGGGUAUAUUGACAGUUGGUAUAGUCACUACUCCUUUUUCUUUUGAGGGACGAAGAAGAGCAGUUCAGGCCCAGGAAGGAAUUGCAGCUUUGAGAGAUAAUGUUGACACAUUGAUUGUAAUCCCCAAUGACAAGUUAUUGACUGCUGUUUCCCAAUCAACCCCAGUAACUGAAGCAUUUAACUUGGCUGAUGAUAUUCUGCGUCAGGGUGUUCGUGGUAUCUCUGAUAUCAUUACGAUUCCAGGAUUGGUAAAUGUGGAUUUUGCUGAUGUAAGAGCUAUAAUGGCAAAUGCAGGAUCUUCAUUAAUGGGGAUAGGAACUGCAACUGGGAAAACGAGGGCAAGGGAUGCUGCAUUAAAUGCAAUCCAAUCACCUUUAUUGGAUAUUGGUAUAGAGAGGGCAACUGGAAUUGUAUGGAACAUAACAGGUGGUAGUGAUUUGACUUUAUUUGAGGUGAAUGCUGCAGCAGAGGUUAUCUAUGACCUUGUAGAUCC